GUGCUUGCUUCAGAAUAUAUACUAAAAUUGGAACAAUACAGAGAAGAUUAGUAUGGUCUCUGUGCAAGGAUGACGUGCAAGUUUGUGAAGUGUUCCAUUUUUUG